CCCUUAGAUGUUCGGGGCCGCACGCGCGCUACACUGAAGGAAUCAGCACGUCUUUCUCCUUGUCCGAAAGGACUGGGUAGCCCGCUGAACCUCCUUCGUGCUAGGGAUUGGGGCUUGUAAUUCUUCCCCAUGAACGAGGAAUUCCCAGUAAGCGCGAGUCAUAAGCUCGCGUUGAUUACGUCCCUGCCCUUUGUACACACCGCCCGUCGCUACUACCGAUUGGAUGGUUUAGUGAGAUCCUCGGAUUGGUCCCGGCGCGGCCUCUGGUCGUGCCGGAGUGCCGAAAAGAAUGUCGAACUUGAUCAUCUAGAGGAAGUAAAAGUCGUAACA
rnacentral:rRNA from 1 species